AUGGGGACACCAAAAGCUCAACCAUUGCCCCAAACCCAGACUUUGGCCCCAAAUUUCCGGGCGGCCGUGACCCUGCUGGAGUCCGGGGGGGACCUCCAGCCCCCCGGGGGGUCCCUGCGCCUCCUCUGCCGAGGACAAGGAUUCGACAUCGGGAAAUUUGGGAUGUACUGGAUCCGCCAGAGACCCGGGAAGGCGCUGGAAUUCAUCGCGAGCAUCACCAACACCAGUGGUUACACCUGGUACGCUCCAUCCGUGCGUGGCCGGUUCACCAUCACCAGGGACAACGGGCAGAGCUCGGUGACGCUGAGCAUGAACAACCUCCAGGACGAGGAUUCCGGGGUUUAUUUCUGUGCCAAAUCUUAUGAGUAUUUUGCUGCCUAUUUUGUUUAUCGAUUUUGCCCCAAACCCCAGGAUUUCCCCCCAAAGCUCAGCCCUGACCCCGCUCCUGACCCUUUGUCCCCGAGUGUCCCAGCGCUGAGCCCUGAGCCCAAAUCCCCGCCCGGGGCCCCCUGA